rnacentral:rRNA from 1 species
GGGUUGUGAGGUUAAGCGACUAAGCGUACACGGUGGAUGCCCUGGCAGUCAGAGGCGAUGAAGGACGUGCUAAUCUGCGAUAAGCGUCGGUAAGGUGAUAUGAACCGUUAUAACCGGCGAUUUCCGAAUGGGGAAACCCAGUGUGUUUCGACACACUAUCAUUAACUGAAUCCAUAGGUUAAUGAGGCGAACCGGGGGAACUGAAACAUCUAAGUACCCCGAGGAAAAGAAAUCAACCGAGAUUCCCCCAGUAGCGGCGAGCGAACGGGGAGGAGCCCAGAGCCUGAAUCAGUGUGUGUGUUAGUGGAAGCGUCUGGAAAGGCGCGCGAUACAGGGUGACAGCCCCGUACACAAAAAUGCACAUACUGUGAGCUCGAUGAGUAGGGCGGGACACGUGGUAUCCUGUCUGAAUAUGGGGGGACCAUCCUCCAAGGCUAAAUACUCCUGACUGACCGAUAGUGAACCAGUACCGUGAGGGAAAGGCGAAAAGAACCCCGGCGAGGGGAGUGAAAAAGAACCUGAAACCGUGUACGUACAAGCAGUGGGAGCCUCUUAAUGGGGUGACUGCGUACCUUUUGUAUAAUGGGUCAGCGACUUAUAUUCUGUAGCAAGGUUAACCGAAUAGGGGAGCCGAAGGGAAACCGAGUCUUAACUGGGCGUUAAGUUGCAGGGUAUAGACCCGAAACCCGGUGAUCUAGCCAUGGGCAGGUUGAAGGUUGGGUAACACUAACUGGAGGACCGAACCGACUAAUGUUGAAAAAUUAGCGGAUGACUUGUGGCUGGGGGUGAAAGGCCAAUCAAACCGGGAGAUAGCUGGUUCUCCCCGAAAGCUAUUUAGGUAGCGCCUCGUGAAUUCAUCUCCGGGGGUAGAGCACUGUUUCGGCAAGGGGGUCAUCCCGACUUACCAACCCGAUGCAAACUGCGAAUACCGGAGAAUGUUAUCACGGGAGACACACGGCGGGUGCUAACGUCCGUCGUGAAGAGGGAAACAACCCAGACCGCCAGCUAAGGUCCCAAAGUCAUGGUUAAGUGGGAAACGAUGUGGGAAGGCCCAGACAGCCAGGAUGUUGGCUUAGAAGCAGCCAUCAUUUAAAGAAAGCGUAAUAGCUCACUGGUCGAGUCGGCCUGCGCGGAAGAUGUAACGGGGCUAAACCAUGCACCGAAGCUGCGGCAGCGACACUAUGUGUUGUUGGGUAGGGGAGCGUUCUGUAAGCCUGUGAAGGUGUACUGUGAGGUAUGCUGGAGGUAUCAGAAGUGCGAAUGCUGACAUAAGUAACGAUAAAGCGGGUGAAAAGCCCGCUCGCCGGAAGACCAAGGGUUCCUGUCCAACGUUAAUCGGGGCAGGGUGAGUCGACCCCUAAGGCGAGGCCGAAAGGCGUAGUCGAUGGGAAACAGGUUAAUAUUCCUGUACUUGGUGUUACUGCGAAGGGGGGACGGAGAAGGCUAUGUUGGCCGGGCGACGGUUGUCCCGGUUUAAGCGUGUAGGCUGGUUUUCCAGGCAAAUCCGGAAAAUCAAGGCUGAGGCGUGAUGACGAGGCACUACGGUGCUGAAGCAACAAAUGCCCUGCUUCCAGGAAAAGCCUCUAAGCAUCAGGUAACAUCAAAUCGUACCCCAAACCGACACAGGUGGUCAGGUAGAGAAUACCAAGGCGCUUGAGAGAACUCGGGUGAAGGAACUAGGCAAAAUGGUGCCGUAACUUCGGGAGAAGGCACGCUGAUAUGUAGGUGAAGUCCCUCGCGGAUGGAGCUGAAAUCAGUCGAAGAUACCAGCUGGCUGCAACUGUUUAUUAAAAACACAGCACUGUGCAAACACGAAAGUGGACGUAUACGGUGUGACGCCUGCCCGGUGCCGGAAGGUUAAUUGAUGGGGUUAGCGGUAACGCGAAGCUCUUGAUCGAAGCCCCGGUAAACGGCGGCCGUAACUAUAACGGUCCUAAGGUAGCGAAAUUCCUUGUCGGGUAAGUUCCGACCUGCACGAAUGGCGUAAUGAUGGCCAGGCUGUCUCCACCCGAGACUCAGUGAAAUUGAACUCGCUGUGAAGAUGCAGUGUACCCGCGGCAAGACGGAAAGACCCCGUGAACCUUUACUAUAGCUUGACACUGAACAUUGAGCCUUGAUGUGUAGGAUAGGUGGGAGGCUUUGAAGUGUGGACGCCAGUCUGCAUGGAGCCGGCCUUGAAAUACCACCCUUUAAUGUUUGAUGUUCUAACGUUGGCCCCUGAUCGGGGUUGCGGACAGUGUCUGGUGGGUAGUUUGACUGGGGCGGUCUCCUCCUAAAGAGUAACGGAGGAGCACGAAGGUUGGCUAAUCCUGGUCGGACAUCAGGAGGUUAGUGCAAUGGCAUAAGCCAGCUUGACUGCGAGCGUGACGGCGCGAGCAGGUGCGAAAGCAGGUCAUAGUGAUCCGGUGGUUCUGAAUGGAAGGGCCAUCGCUCAACGGAUAAAAGGUACUCCGGGGAUAACAGGCUGAUACCGCCCAAGAGUUCAUAUCGACGGCGGUGUUUGGCACCUCGAUGUCGGCUCAUCACAUCCUGGGGCUGAAGUAGGUCCCAAGGGUAUGGCUGUUCGCCAUUUAAAGUGGUACGCGAGCUGGGUUUAGAACGUCGUGAGACAGUUCGGUCCCUAUCUGCCGUGGGCGCUGGAGAACUGAGGGGGGCUGCUCCUAGUACGAGAGGACCGGAGUGGACGCAUCACUGGUGUUCGGGUUGUCAUGCCAAUGGCACUGCCCGGUAGCUAAAUGCGGAAGAGAUAAGUGCUGAAAGCAUCUAAGCACGAAACUUGCCCCGAGAUGAGUUCUCCCUGACUC